rnacentral:tRNA from 1 species
GCGCCCGUAGUUUAGCGGAUAAAGCAUUGGGUUGCGGACCCAAAGACCGCAGGUUCGAAUCCUGCCGGGCGCA